GCUGAAACUCGCCUACAUGAAGCUGGAGUUACUAGUAAUCGCAGAUCAGAAUGCUGCGGUGAAUGCGUUCCCGGGUCUUGUACACACCGCCCGUCACACCACGGGAGUUGGAGACGCCCGAAGCCGAUUAUCUAACCUUUUGGAAGAAGGCGUCGAAGGUGGAAUCAAUAACUGGGGUGAAGUCGUAACAAGGUAGCCGUAUCGGAAGGUGCGGCUGGAUCACCUCCUUUCUAAGGAGA
rnacentral:rRNA from 1 species